rnacentral:rRNA from 1 species
AUUGAACGCUGGCGGCAGGCUUAACACAUGCAAGUCGAACGAGUGGCGGACGGGUGAGUAAUGCUUGGGCAUCUAGCUUAUGGAGGGGGAUAACUACUGGAAACUGUAUCUAAUACCGCGUACCAUAGGAUGAGCCCAUGUGGGAUUAGGUAGUUGGUGAGGUAAAGGCUCACCAAGCCGACGAUCCCUAGCUGGUCUGAGAGGAUGAACAGCCACACGGGGACUGAGACACGGCCUAGACUCCUACGGGAGGCAGCAGUGGGGAAUAUUGCGCAAUGGGGGCAAGCUGAUGCAGCCAUGCCGCGUGAAUGAAGAAGGCCUUCGGGUUGUAAAGUUCUUUCGGUAGCGAGGCGUUAACGACAGAAGAAGCACCGGCUAACUCCGUGCCAGCAGCCGCGGUAAUUC